GUUAAGUGAUUAUUUUUUAAGUCACUGGUAAACUGGUAACGUUGUUUACCCCCAAAAAAAAAGUAUUCGAAGCUCAGUAGGACUAUAACUUCACUCAACAAACUUCCAUUAAUAAGAAGCUGUGGUUUAUGCGCAACAAUAAGCUGAGAUGAUCAAAAAAUUUGCUUCAAAUAUGAGGUACUUAGUCAAAUUCCAGCACUUUCUUUCACAAUCAGUGAUUCGCCUCCAUUUCUCGAGACUUAAGCUUCGUCCCCUUCGAUUUUCAACACUCUCCAAAUCAUCCAAACCAACGAAGAAAGCCCCACAAGCUAACUUGAAGAGCCAAGCUGAAACUGGUACCAUCCCAUCACUCUUCCAAGAAAUAACUGACAUUUUAGGUGUUGUUAAUGUAACCUCAGAUGAAACCAAAUUUGGGUUUUCGAUAACCCCACGAACCAAUGCCAAGGAGCUUGAGUUUAUAGAACAAUCUUUGGCUAGAAGGCCAGGUGUUUGUCAAAAUGCCUCACUUAGCUAUGGAAUUUUACAAGGAGAUGGUUGAGAAGGAAAUCAGCCUUGAUUUGAAUUAAGGAAGAAUUAUUAAAGUAAUCCUGUUGAUGUGGUUUCUGGCAAUGGUGUUUCAUCAAGUUCAGAACAAGAUGUAUGGUCUGCUGUACAAGAAAGAGCACUGAUUCGGCUCUGAAGACAUUCCCAAAGGAAACCAGUCAGCGUUGGGAACGAGUAGCCACUGCUGUUCCCGGGAAGACUGUAAACCAAUGCAAGAAAAAAUUUGCAUUACUGAAGGAAAACUUUAGAAGCAAGAGAAGCACAGCUUAGUCACUUGAUUAAAUACCAAGGGGGCCGAGAAGUGAUAUAUCUUAAAGAGGGAGUCGUCUUAACACAUCUUGGAACCUGCCUGAGCUACAACAUAUGUGUAACGAAACCAACCUCUCUUCUUAGUUCCUACAUUCUGACUUCUGCUAGGCAAUAUUUGGUUUCGCCAUAACAAAUGUUUUCUACAGCAAUUAGCUUUAUAUAUUGAUAUAAAAUAUACUAUUUCUCAUUGAUUUUGUAUGGAGCAGUAUUUCCAUCAACGUGGUUUGUUUAUGUAUUUCUGGAAGAAUUAAGGAAGCUUUAGAAUUGAUUCGGGACCUUAAGAAUAAAGGGUUGUCUUUGGACCCCCGUUAUUUUGAGAUUCUGAUUAAAGGACUGUGCAGGGCCGAUAGGAUUGCCGAUGCCUUGGAAAUCCUCGAUAUUAUGAAGACAAGACAACUGGUUAGUGAGAAGGUUUAUGAGAUUAUCAUCAAUGGGCACUUAAGAAGAAAUGACCUUUCCAAGGCACUUGAUCUUUUCCAAAGCAUUAAGGAAUCCGGGUUAUGUUGGCUAAAACCGUAUAUCCGAAGCAUGGAAAGUAUUCAAUUCGAUGGAGGAGAGGGGCAUCCGACCUACUUGGAAAGCAUAUUUAGUAUUCAUUAAGGAGCUUGGAAAAGUUGGAAGGACAGAUGAAAUUUUUCGGGUUUUAUUCGAAAUGAAGGAGGCAAAGAUAGGUAUUCGAGAUGAGAUAUUUUGUUUGGUUGUAUCUUGCAUGGAGAGGAGCAGAGAGACGGAUAAUGUUGAAAAAGUAAAGCAAAUGCGGAAGAGGUUGAAAUUAUAUAUUUCACUAACCAGUCACUCCCUUUCAAAUGCAUUCAACAAGCAGGACAUGACAACAUUAUAGAGACAGGACCAAGUGCACUCCCUUUCAAAUGCAUUCAACAAGCAGGACAUGGAAGAAGUGCAUAGAAUAUUAUCAUCCUCGAAGGAUUGGACCAACUAAUAUGCAUGUCAAAGACAACAUCAAUUAGAAUGAAAAAGUUUUACAGUUUUCUACAA